UACGUAAGGGGCAAGCGUUGUCCGGAAUCACUGGGCGUAAAGCGCACGUAGGCGGUUUAGUAAGUCAGGGGUGCAAGCUCCAGGCCUAACCUGGAAAUUGCCUCUGAAACUACUAAGCUUGAGGGUCAGAGGGGAAACUGGAAUUCACGGUGUAGCGGUGAAAUGCGUAGAUAUCGUGGAGAACACCCGUGGCGAAGGCGGGUUUCUGGCUGACAACUGACGCUGAGGUGCGAAAGCUAGGGGAGCGAACGGG
rnacentral:rRNA from 1 species